rnacentral:tRNA from 1 species
GCCCGGUGGCCGAGCGGUCGAAGGUGAAAAUCAGUCGCGGGUUCGAAUCCCGCCCGGGGCA